GCUUCAUUGACUACAAGAAAGCCUCUGGUAUCAGCCACCUGGAGCGGCAGGUGCUGAGAUCCAGAACCGCUGCUGAGAAUGCAGAAAAAGUCGAGGAUGAGCUGAAAGCAGAGAAGAGGAAGCUACAAAGAGAGCUCUGAACAGCACUGGACAAGAUCGAGGAGAUGGAGAUGACCAACAGCCACCUGGCCAAGCGGCUGGAGAAGAUGAAGGCCAACAGGACGGCGCUGCUGGCCCAGCAGUAGGGCCCCGCCCGGCCCCAGGCCCGCCCCGAGGGGCUGCCCUUCGGCCACUGACGCAGACCCCUUUCAGGACUGUUUGAGCUUUGGCAUUCAGAUAGCCACCUUUGUAUUUUCUAAUUUAUGAGAGAAUGAAACAGCCGCCUCAGUGACUGGGCCCGGCUCUGGAGGACAGCGGCUCAGCGCCCGCUGAGACACUUCCUGGAGACCUCAGAAACACAAGUGCCUUCUCCACGGUGCAGUUCAGACUCCAGUGAUCUCCAGGGGCCAAGAGACACUUACCCUUAAUAUCAGGACACGCCGCCCGCAUCCCGAACUCCGGACGUGCCCGUGCUGUCUCCUCCUGCUCCGGGGCUGCCCCGGCCCUGAGC
ensembl:lncRNA